CCAAUAGCGUAUAUUAAAGUUGUUGCAGUUAAAAAGCUCGUAGUUGAAUUUCGGGACCAAUCUGCCGGUCGUGCCUCCGGUACGCACUGGUUUUAUUGGUUUCUCCCUUCUGACGAACCAUGAUGUCAUUAAUUUGGUGUCAUGGGGAAUCAGGACUGUUACUUUGAAAAAAUUAGAGUGUUUAUAGCAGGCUCACGCUUGAAUACAUUAGCAUGGAAUAAUGAAAUAGGACGUUUGACCCUAUUUUGUUGGUUUCUAGGAUCGACGUAAUGAUUAAUAGGGAUAGUUGGGGGCAUUAGUAUUCAAUUGUCAGAGGUGAAAUUCUUGGAUGUAUUGAAGACUAACUACUGCGAAAGCAUUUGCCAAGGAUGUUUUCAUUAAUCAAGAACGAAAGUUAGGGGAUCGAAGACGAUCAGAUACCGUCGUAGUCUUAACCAUAAACUAUGCCGACUAGGGAUCGGAUGAUGUUAAUUUUUUAAUGACUCAUUCGGCGCCUUACG
rnacentral:misc_RNA from 1 species